CACGUAGGCACCAAGCGUUAUCCGGAUUUAUUGGGCGUAAAGAGCUCGUAGGCGGUUCGGUAAGUCGGGUGUGAAAACUCUGGGCUCAACCCAGAGAGGCCACCCGAUACUGCUGUGACUAGAGUGCGGUAGGGGAGCGGGGGAAUUCCUGGUGUAGCGGUGAAAAUGCGCAGAUAUCAGGAGGAACACCAGCGGCGAAGGCGCCGCUCUGGGGCCGUAACUGACGCUGAGGAGCGAAAAGUGUGGGGGGAGCGAACAGG
rnacentral:rRNA from 1 species